rnacentral:tRNA from 1 species
CCGACCUUAGCUCAGUUGGUAGAGCGGAGGACUGUAGUUGGUAAUCCAGGCUGUUAUCCUUAGGUCGCUGGUUCGAAUCCGGCAGGUCGGA